rnacentral:rRNA from 1 species
AUACGGAAGGUCCGGGCGUUAUCCGGAUUUAUUGGGUUUAAAGGGCGCGCAGGCGGAGAUGCAAGCGUGACGUCAAAUUUCGGGGCUCACCCCCGUCUCGCGUCGCGAACUGCGUCCCUUGGUUGCGGGAAGGGGACGCGGAACUCGUGGUGUAGCGGUGACAUGCAUAGAUAUCACGAAGAACUCCGAUCGCGAAGGCAGCCUCCCGGCCAGUCAACGACGCUCAUGCUCGAAGGUGCGGGUAUCAAACAGGAUUAGAUACCCUGGUAGUCCGCACAGUAAACGAUGGACACCCGCGGUUUGGCCUGUAUGGCUGAGCCGCCAAGCGAAAGCGUUAAGUGUCCCACCUGGGGAGUACGCCGGCAACGGUGAAACUCAAAGGAAUUGGCGGGG